rnacentral:rRNA from 1 species
CGAACGCUGGCGGCGUGCUUAACACAUGCAAGUCGAACGGGAUUUAGUAGACAGAAGCCUCGGCUAAAGAUUACUAAUGAGAGUGGCGAACGGGUGAGUAACGCGUGAGCAACCUGCCUAUGACAGUGGGAUAGCCUCGGGAAACCGGGAUUAAUACCGCAUAAAAUCGUAGAAACACAUGUUUUAACGGUCAAAGAUUUAUCGGUCAUAGAUGGGCUCGCGUCUGAUUAGCUAGUUGGUGAGAUAACAGCCCACCAAGGCGACGAUCAGUAGCCGGUCUGAGAGGAUGAACGGCCACAUUGGAACUGAGACACGGUCCAAACUCCUACGGGAGGCAGCAGUGGGGAAUAUUGCACAAUGGGGGAAACCCUGAUGCAGCGACGCCGCGUGAACGAAGAAGGUAUUCGUAUCGUAAAGUUCUGUCCUAUGGGAAGAUAAUGACAGUACCAUAGAAGAAAGCUCCGGCUAAAUACGUG